rnacentral:rRNA from 1 species
UACGUAGGGUGCGAGCGUUGUCCGGAAUUAUUGGGCGUAAAGAGCUCGUAGGCCGUCUGUCGCGUCGGAUGUGAAAACUCGGGGCUCAACCCCGAGCCUGCAUUCGAUACGGGCAGACUAGAGUUCGGUAGGGGGAGACUGGAAUUCCUGGUGUAGCGGUGAAAUGCGCAGAUAUCAGGAGGAACACCGAUGGCGAAGGCAGGUCACUGGGCCGCAACUGACGCUGAGGAGCGAAAGCAUGGGGAGCGAACAGG